rnacentral:rRNA from 1 species
GACGAACGCUGGCGGCGUGCCUAAUACAUGCAAGUAGAACGCUGAAGAGAGGAGCUUGCUCUUCUUGGAUGAGUUGCGAACGGGUGAGUAACGCGUAGGUAACCUGCCUGGUAGCGGGGGAUAACUAUUGGAAACGAUAGCUAAUACCGCAUAACAACAGUUGUUGCAUGACAGCUGUUUAAAAGAUGCAAUUGCAUCACUACCAGAUGGACCUGCGUUUUAUUAGCUAGUUGGUGAGGUAACGGCUCACCAAGGCGACGAUACAUAGCCGACCUGAGAGGGUGGUCGGCCACACUGGGACGGAGACACGGCCCAGACUCCUACGGGAGGGAGCAGUAGGGAAACUUCGGCAAUGGGGGGAACCCUGACCGAGCAACGCCGCGGGAGUGAAGAAGGGUUUCGGAUCGUAAAGCUCGGUUGUAAGAGAAGAAAGGGUGUGAGAGUGGAAAGUUGACACUGUGACGGUAUCUAACCAGAAAGGGACGGCUAACUACGUG